rnacentral:rRNA from 1 species
UGGGGAAUAUUGGGCAAUGGGCGAAAGCCUGACCCAGCAACGCCGCGCGAAGGAAGAAGGUUUUCGGAUUGUAAACUUCUGUCCUCAGGGAAGAAAAAAAUGACGGUACCUGGGGAGGAAGCCCCGGCUAACUACGUGCCAGCAGCCGCGGUAAUACGUAGGGGGCGAGCGUUGUCCGGAAUGACUGGGCGUAAAGGGCGCGUAGACGGUUUUUUAAGUCUGGAGUUAAAGUCCUGCUUUCAAGGUGGGAAUUGCUUUGGAGACUGGAAGACUUGAGUGCGGAAGAGGUAAGUGGAAUUCCCAGUGUAGCGGUGAAAUGCGUAGAGAUUGGGAAGAACACCAGUGGCGAAGGCGACUUACUGGGCCGUAACUGACGCUGAGGAGCGAAAGCGUGGGGAGCAAACA